AGAGUUUGAUCCUGGCUCAGAGCGAACGCUGGCGGCGUGCUUAACACAUGCAAGUCGAACGCGCAGCAUUCUGUAGCAAUACAGGGUGUGGGCGCGUGGCGAACGGGUGCGUAACACGUGGAUAACCUUCCUUCAGGUGGGGAAUAACCCAGUGAAAACUGGGCUAAUACCGCAUAACAUGACGAUGGCACAUGCUGUUGUCUUCAAAGGCGCAAGUCGCCAGAAGAGGGAUCCGCGGCCGAUUAGCUUGUUGGCGAGGUAAUGGCUCACCAAGGCAUUGAUCGGUAGCCGGACUGAGAGGUUGGCCGGCCACACUGGAACUGAGACACGGUCCAGACUCCUACGGGAGGCAGCAGUGGGGAAUCUUGCACAAUGGACGAAAGUCUGAUGCAGCAACGCCGCGUGGGGGAUGAAGCUUCUCGGAGUGUAAACCCCUUUCGACCCGGAAGA
rnacentral:rRNA from 1 species